GCAACCCACUCAGAUUCCGUUUCAUAGUGUGGAGGUUUUGUUCUUUCACUCUGCAGUAAAUCUUACUGCUGCUCAGUGUUUGGGUCUGUGCUACCUUUAUGAGCUGUAACACUCACGGUGGAAGCCUGCAGUCUCACUCCUGAGGCCAGGGAGACCACGAACCCACCAGGAGGAAUGAACAACUCCGGAGGCGCAGACUUAAGAGCUGUAACACUCACCGCGAAGGUCUGUAGUUUCACUUUUGAACCAGCGAGACCAUGAACCCGCCAGAAAGAAAAAACUGCCAACACAGCCGGACAUCAGAAGGAACAAACUGGGGACACGCUGCCUUUAAGAAACAUAACAGGCACCGUGAGGGUCCACGGCUUCAUUCUUGAAGUUAGUGAGACCAAGAACCCACCUAAUCCCGGGCACAAAACCACCUCAAUCUCCCAAAGACCGAAAGCCCUGGUGUCGCUGGGACCAGAGAACUUUUUCUGAGAGCCUAUCGUGUCCAUGGAGAGCAGCUGAGGUAAAUCCUGGAGGUGACUGUCCCCCUAGGAGAUGAUGUGGAUGGGGAAAUAGUUCAUACGCAGCUCAGCGACCUUGAAGCGGCAUCCGAGGAGAUGUGGCCACGGGGCAGGCGACCGACACCAGCGAGUCCAGAGGGCCAGCGUGUGCACCACUGUGUGUCUCCAGAGACUUCAGGAAGCAGCCACCACGCCCGAGGAAUGCAGGAAGAUGGACACACGGCUGGGGAAGUACAAUGAAAGGCCAAGUAGGCAGCCUGUUCUCCUCAGAUCAGUCCCCCACGAACACUCAUUCCCGAGGACUCAUCCAAUACUAAUAAGAGAAUGCUCUUGUUUUUGAAGAAUUUUCUGAAAGCCAUCCUGACAAAUUAAGUAGAGUAUGCUGAAGAUAGUCAGACUUUGUUUUUAAGAAUUGAAUAUUC
rnacentral:lncRNA from 1 species